GGGGAUGUAGCUCAGCCGGGAGAGCGCCUGCUUUGCAAGCAGGAGGUCAGGGGUUCGAGCCCCCUCAUCUCCA
rfam:Thermobaculum terrenum ATCC BAA-798 chromosome 1, complete sequence.